rnacentral:piRNA from 1 species
AGGGCACUGUUCCACCUGGAUCCAGU